GACAGAGGGGGCAAGCGUUGCUCGGAAUUACUGGGCGUAAAGGGCGCGUAGGCGGGAUGGCAAGUCGGUCGUGAAAUCCCUCGGCUCAACUGAGGAUCGUCGAUCGAUACUGCCGUUCUUGAGGAUUGCAGAGGAGACUGGAAUUCCUGGUGUAGCGGUGAAAUGCGCAGAUAUCAGGAGGAACACCGGUAGCGAAGGCGGUGGUCUGGGCCGGAACUGACGCUGAGGAGCGAAAGCGUGGGGAGCGAACAGG
rnacentral:rRNA from 1 species